UCUCUGGUUGUUCAGUGGUUAAAACUCUGCGCUUCCAAUGCAGGGGGCACAGGUUCAAUUCCUGGCCGGAGAA